AUUUCUUUUCCUUCCCAUUAUUUUCGGUGUUUACAAAGUUUCUCAUGUACAAAAUUCAUCCAAGUUUUUCUAAACAUAUUUCCUAAUCGCUUCAACAAAUCAUUGUAUGCAUAUUUUUCCUACUGUAAAUAUUUUUGUCUCAGGUACAUACACACCACACGCACUUCUAACCAUUCACACAUUAUAUUUUCACAUAUCAAACCAACCUACAAAAUCAUCAUCAUCGCUAACUUUUUCCAAAGCCAUGGUCACAAACAGAAUAAUAACUUUUGGUUCACAACUCGGUAUAACUAUUCUCGUUUUGCAAUAAUAGAAAGAAGAAAAGUAAGAAUGUUUCAAAUUGGGAAAAAGGAAGGAAAAGAAGGUCGAAAAUCGAUGAACAACAACCUCCAGUUCCAACGUCUCAGCCGCGCAGCAUAG